GACGAACCGUGCGAACGUUGUUCGGAAUCACUGGGCUUAAAGGGCGCGUAGGCGGCUUAUCAAGUCCGGGGUGAAAUCUUUCGGCUUAACCGGAAAAGUGCCUUGGAUACUGGUAGGCUUGAGGGAGGUAGGGGCAUGUGGAACUUCCGGUGGAGCGGUGAAAUGCGUUGAUAUCGGAAGGAACGCCGGUGGCGAAAGCGACGUGCUGGCCCUCUUCUGACGCUGAGGCGCGAAAGCUAGGGGAGCGAACGGG
rnacentral:rRNA from 1 species